ensembl:lncRNA
UGAUCUUGUAAUACCGUCAUCAUCCGCUCAUCCGGGUCUCUAGGGGGCGCUAGAGAGACUUGCCCGCUAACAUCAGCGCUUGAACGGCGCGCGUCAGGACGUUCAGUAAAACGUGGACUGGAUAAGAAUCUGCGGAGUGAGAUUAAAAUAAAUUUCCCUUACUGACAAGCUAAACAGAGGUAUGUGAUAGAAUAAUAUCUGAAUAUUUAUUACGAUAUUGAAGUUAUACGUUGAAGUGUUGUUUGAAUUUUAAACAGAGCUGCUGCUUUGCUGAGUCCGGAUUCAAAUACUGAGCGGAAGCGGAAGCGCUCGAGUGUAAACAGACUCUGUAGCUGAACUUUAAAGAGACUCAAGCCUCUUUUUAUUUGUGAUCUACUGUCUCAGUCUAAAUUACACUCACACUGGGGUUUGAGGAAGACAAACUAACUACAAUAGAAUAAUAAUAACAACAGUGACAGUAAUAGUGAUAUAUUGUAGAACAGUUUCACUGUAAAAUAAAUGAAAAUGAAUAUUUCAUAGGUAUAUUGUUAUUGUUUUACACUACAGCAGGGACAUCACAACACUUCUUUCCUAAUUUCUACACUUGAGAGAGAUGUUUAGAGUCUGGAGUGUGUUUAAACCUGUAGCUGUCAGUAAUUGAUGCUGCACUUGAAGCUUUUAUUCUGAAGGAAACUCCAGCUUCAGUGAAAACAGGCUUACAAAAACCCCCUCACUACAAAUCUAGAGAAACGCUGUGAAGAUAAAGCAGAACUGCUGUCUGUUGUGUUCCCAAACGCGCUCUAAACUCACAGCAGGUGAAAUAAAGGAGCUGACUGCAUUCAUUCAGUGUGAAGCAAGCCCAUCUGAACCGUCUGAACCUGAAUAUUUUAAGCCAGAAGAAGUGUUUUAUGAUUGUGUGAAGCAUCGUAAGUGAUUAAACUCUGGGCUGUUCUUUAUGUGUUCUGGGCUGCAGUCGUCUGCGCAGACGCAGAAGGAUCAGGAGACGGCUCUGACGGAGGAAGAGCGCAGACAACAGCAGGAACUACUGCAGUCUUUAGCGGAGUGUGUCCUUCACGUGUCCAGGCGCAGGCUCACGUCUGGAGGACACACUGACCUCCAUCUGUCUGCACACACAACACCUCACAGGAUCCCUCUCUGCUGCCACCAGAAACUCACAGAGUCAAUCUGCAGAACACACUCGUGUCAUCAUCAGUCGAUACAUCACAUCAUCACACCACAGUCAGCAAGAACCGAGCCUUUCCCAAGCUUUCAGUCGAGUGCUUCACUGAAGUGCCUGAAACAGCACACGCUAGUGACACCUGCUGGUCAAACUCUGUAAAUGCAACAAAACUUCUGCAAAAACAGGCAUAAAAACACCUUUUACAACCCCAAGGCAAAUACAUUCUUCAAAGUAUAAUAUAUUAAAUGGACUUUAAAUAUUAAAAUACCAUUGCAUAUGAAGUGUCUGUAUAUAUGUGAUUUAAAUUUUUUUUAUUAAUUUGCAGGGCUUGUUUAGUUUGUUUUAUGGAGAGCUUGUCUGAACAGUCAGUAAGAGACUAUUAACUACUACUCAUCCUGUUAAUUACACAACAUUAGAAAUAUCUUCAAACUGAUUUCCCAAAGUUUUGAAGCUUCACAUCAGGCUGAUCUUAAAGCUGAUUGGCUGUAAUGUUCCAUCAGCUGACAGGAAGACGUUUUCUCCGUCCAGUGAAGAGAAAUGGAGUCCAGUGCCAAAGAUCUGUCGAGUUUCAAAGAUGAACUGCACUUUUAUAUUAUUGUCUUUAAACAUUUUGCCAGUUAUUUAAUCAAGUUUUAUAUGUUUUUCUUGACAUCUCUGUACAUCUUACGGCUUCAGCAGCGCUUUUCUUGCUGGUUUUGUCUUUGCACACUUGAAUAAAUUGUGAAAAUUGUUGUAAUUUGUCA